CCUACGGGUGGCAGCAGUGGGGAAUAUUGGACAAUGGGCGAAAGCCUGAUCCAGCCAUGCCGCGUGUGUGAAGAAGGCCUUCGGGUUGUAAAGCACUUUCAGUGGGGAAGAAAGCCUUGGGGCUAAUACCCUCGAGGAAGGACAUCACCCACAGAAGAAGCACCGGCUAACUCCGUGCCAGCAGCCGCGGUAAUACGGAGGGUGCGAGCGUUAAUCGGAAUUACUGGGCGUAAAGCGCGCGUAGGCGGUCUGAUAAGCCGGUUGUGAAACCCCGGGCUCAACCUGGGAACGGCAUCCGGAACUGUCAGGCUAGAGUGCAGGAGAGGAAGGUAGAAUUCCCGGUGUAGCGGUGAAAUGCGUAGAGAUCGGGAGGAAUACCAGUGGCGAAGGCGGCCUUCUGGACUGACACUGACGCUGAGGUGCGAAAGCGUGGGUAGCAAACAGGAUUAGAUACCCUGUAGUC
rnacentral:rRNA from 1 species